rnacentral:rRNA from 1 species
GGGAAUUUUCCGCAAUGGGCGAAAGCCUGACGGAGCAAUACCGCGUGAGGGAGGAAGGCUUUUGGGUGGUAAACCUCUUUUUUAGGGGAAGAAGCUAUGACGGUACCUGAGGAAUCAGCAUCGGCUAACUCCGUGCCAGCAGCCGCGGUAAUACGGAGGAUGCAAGCGUUAUCCGGAAUUAUUGGGCGUAAAGCGUCCGCAGGUGGCUAAUCAAGUCUGCUGUCAAAGCGUGAGGCUUAACCUCAUAUCGGCAGUGGAAACUGGAUGACUAGAGUGCGUCAGGGGUAGAGGGAAUGUCCCCGUGUAGAGUUGUAAGCAAUGGGAUUAGAUACCCCAGUAGUCAUNGGNACUUGCUGCAUGGGAUAGAUACCUAGUAGUCAUGGACUGACGG